rnacentral:rRNA from 1 species
GAGUUUGAUCCUGGCUCAGGAUGAACGCUGACAGAAUGCUUAACACAUGCAAGUCAACUUGAAUUUGGGUCCUAGACUUAGAUUUGGGUGGCGGACGGGUGAGUAACGCGUAAAGAACUUGCCUCACAGAUAGGGACAACAUUUGGAAACGAAUGCUAAUACCUGAUAUUAUGAUUUUAGGGCAUCCUAAGAUUAUGAAAGCUACAUGCGCUGUGAGAGAGCUUUGCGUCCCAUUAGCUAGUUGGAGAGGUAACGGCUCACCAAGGCGAUGAUGGGUAGCCGGCCUGAGAGGGUGAACGGCCACAAGGGGACUGAGACACGGCCCUUACUCCUACGGGAGGCAGCAGUGGGGAAUAUUGGACAAUGGACCAAGAGUCUGAUCCAGCAAUUCUGUGUGCACGAUGAAGUUUUUCGGAAUGUAAAGUGCUUUCAGUUGGGAAGAAAAGAAUGACG